GUCUGUGUUUCCUGAAAUGGGUAAAGUAAAUGGCACCAUUCUUACCUCACGCUGGUCUUUCUCCUCGCUGGGCACCUGGGCACGAUGGGACCUGCUCUCCAUAUAGGCCAACAAGGAAGCUGAUCCAAGUAGGUCAAGUUUCAACGUGGGCGAUUCGUGCACCGCUAGGGCAGACACCCACCGUGCCUGUGAGUAGAUGGCAUCCUCCCGAACUGGACUGCUUCUCCAGCCGUGCUUCAGAUUUGCCCCAAGUGGACACUUCAGAUGUGUCACAGCGCUGCGAGGUGGCUCUGUUGGUUCUAGAGAUCGAUGAUCUCAUCUGUGUUUCGACACCCUUCACAGAGAAACCGAUGGGUAGCAGCUGUGGCUACAAGUUCCUUCGGAGAGGACAGAGUAACCUCUCACCAGGAGCCAGAAAUAGCCCUUCUGCCACAGGUGGUGGCAAAGCAACCUUUGAGGAAAAUUUGCAUAGCCCUCGAGGAGUCAAGAGAACAUGGUUCUCCUGAAAGCAGCUGCUGAAGGAACGGGGACACCAAGGGAUAAGAAGAAAAGCCACAGCAUUCAUAUAUAUUUGUAAAAAUACCUUAAGACUUUAAAAUGUUUUUCAAAAUCAUCCGAAUGAAAAAAAAAAAACAACAAAAAAAACCAAAACCCUUUAUUUUGUUUCUUUUCAUUUUACUGAGCUAGGGUCCUGUAGUCCAGGCUGACCUGCCUCUGUGUAUCCCUAUUUAGCCUCGGUUCACCCUCUUUCAAACUCAGAGUGCUGGGGCUAGAGGUGCACAAGCUUGCUUCAUCAAAUACUGAUCAUUGUUGUAAGGUCGACAGUAUAAAUCUGUUAUAAAUUUGACAAUAACAUUUUAAAUGCUUUGCCUGGGUGAUAUUACAGGCAUGAGGCCGAGGAAAAUGGAGAAAUUACCUGAGGUUUUAUUUUUUUGUUGUUUGUUUUUUUCUCAACAAGCCUCCACCUCCUAUAAUAAUAGUGGAGUGCAACAUGGACACUCAGGAUCGCUGUGGACUUUCGUGACCUGCCCAGGCAAUCUGCAGAGCCUCCUUCAGGGGCUCAGGACCCGACUCCCCUUCUCAGCCUUGACGUGGGCCAUGUUCCAGAACCCUCUCUCAGAGAGCUAGAGAUUGCUGCUGCUUGCCUAGCAAUUGUGAGCACGGAGGCUCUUCACCCUGAGAGCCUCUUUGAUGGGGUUUAUGCCUGAGGUGCCUCAAACCAUUGCCUCACCUGCUUGCUCUGCAC
rnacentral:lncRNA from 1 species